rnacentral:misc_RNA from 1 species
GAAAUGCGAUAACUAGUGUGAAUUGCAGAAUUCCGUGAAUCAUCGAGUCUUUGAACGCACAUUGCGCCCCCUGGUAUUCCGGGGGGCAUGCCUGUCCGAGCGUCAUUGCUGCCCAUCAAGCACGGCUUGUGUGUUGGGUCGUCGUCCCCUCUCCGGGGGGGACGGGCCCCAAAGGCAGCGGCGGCACCGCGUCCGAUCCUCGAGCGUAUGGGGCUUUGUCACCCGCUCUGUAGGCCCGGCCGGCGCUUGCCGAACGCAAAUCAAUCUUUUUCCAGGUUGACCCCGGAUCAGGUAGGGAUACCCGCUGAACUUAAGC